UACGUAGGGGGCGAGCGUUGUCCGGAUUUAUUGGGCGUAAAGAGCUCGUAGGCGGUUCGAUAAGUCGGACGUGAAAUCUCCACGCUCAACGUGGAGGGGCCGUUCGAUACUGUCGUGACUCGAGUCCGGUAGGGGAGUGUGGAAUUCCCGGUGCAGCGGUGAAAUGCGCAGAGAUCGGGAGGAACACCCGUAGCGAAGGCGGCACUCUGGGCCGGUACUGACGCUGAGGAGCGAAAGCGUGGGGAGCAAACAGG
rnacentral:rRNA from 1 species